CUGCACAUGCUCAAAUGGUCCCUGCAAGGCCCUAGAGGCCAGUGGGGGGAGGAGGAACCUUUGCAAACCCCCCAGCCUUUAGGAAACCCCCCGAAGGGGCUACAGCAACAGCUUAUACAUUGCGUUUCGUUAUCGAAAGGGACUGUGGUGUGCCCAGUCUCCGGAUCUUUUAAGCGCCUAUCAGCUCUCCUGCUGGGCCUGCCUCUCCAGGGAUCUUCUAAUCCUCACCCUUUCCAGCCAUGCUCUAAAAGGCAGUUCACAGAGCCUUCCCGGACCUUUGGGACUGAAAGUCCUUCGACUCCUUAUCUGAACAUCAGAUGAAAGGCACAGCCUUAUGGAGAUGGGAUCUAUUCGGGAUUGACACCCCUCGCCCCCAGCUCAAAGGACUCACCUUUCAGAUGGAAAGGCCACUUCGUCGCCCACAUAGGACCCCAUAAGGCCUGAUGAUCUGAGACAUACAGGAUCUCCCCCUUCCUUUUAGCAGCCCCAAACAC